ACGGAGGGGGUUAGCGUUGUUCGGAAUUACUGGGCGUAAAGCGUACGUAGGCGGAUCAGAAAGUUGGGGGUGAAAUCCCAGGGCUCAACCCUGGAACUGCCUCCAAAACUAUUGGUCUAGAGUUCGAGAGAGGUAAGUGGAAUUCCGAGUGUAGAGGUGAAAUUCGUAGAUAUUCGGAGGAACACCAGUGGCGAAGGCGGCUUACUGGCUCGAUACUGACGCUGAGGUACGAAAGUGUGGGGAGCAAACAGG
rnacentral:rRNA from 1 species